rnacentral:rRNA from 1 species
UACGGGAAGGCAGCAGUGGGGAAUAUUGCACAAUGGGCGAAAGCCUGAUGCAGCUAUGCCGCGUGUAUGAAGAAGGCCUUAGGGUUGUAAAGUACUUUCAUCGGGGAGGAAAAAACAAAACUAAUAAUUUUAUUUCUUGACGUUACCCGAAAAAGAAGCACCGGCUAACUCCGUGCCAGCAGCCGCGGUAAUACGGAGGGUGCUAGCGUUAAUCAGAAUUACUGGGCGUAAAGAGCACGUAGGUGGUUUUUUUAAGUCAGAUGUGAAAUCCCUGGGCUUAACCUAGGAACUGCAUUUUGAAACUGAAAUACUAGAGUAUCGUAGAGGGAGGUAGAAUUCUAGGUGUAGCGGUGAAAUGCGUAGAUAUCUGGAGGAAUACCUGUGGCGAAAGCGGCCUCCUAAACGAAUACUGACACUGAGGUGCGAAAGCGUGGGGAGCAAACAGGGAUUAGAUACC